UGAAAUUACGCCUUCAUGAAGCUGGAAUUGCUAGUAAUGGCAGGUCAGCAUACUGCCGUGAAUACGUUCCCGGGCCUUGUACACACCGCCCGUCACACCAUGAGAGUUGGAAAUACCCGAAGCCUGUGAGCUAACAGUAAUGAGGCAGCAGUCGAAGGUAGAGCCAAUGAUUGGGGUGAAGUCGUAACAAGGUAGC
rnacentral:rRNA from 1 species